rnacentral:lncRNA from 1 species
CUCAGCUAAGCUGUUCCUCACAGGCCCAGGCGGAGUCAGCAGGGAGGCAGCCGGCCAUGGGCGCCUGCUCAGAAGACCCCCACCUGUGUGAGGCCUCUGGGCUCCUGCGAUUCACCAGCCUCCUCCUCAGUGUCUGCAGCGCUGUGACCCAGAGUCCUGGAGCCCGUGGGUCUGCAGUGGAUGAUUCUGGAAACCCUGUUCCUCUGAAGGGGAUUCAAGGAGCUUCUGUGCUAUUUCCAGUGAUCAGAAAACCAGAAUUACCUCCAGAAGUCAAGCUGGAGAGUAUUACAUGGGGCAUUAUAAAUAAAAAAAUCUACACACCCAUACUCCAAGUUAGUCCCGGGGGAGAUGUUCCAGAAUGGGUCAACUGCCAGGACAAGUUCGAGAAGAGGGUCCAUGUGCUCAACACAAUGACUCUGAGGAUUGACAACCUGACCCUUGAGGACAGUGGGCGGUACCGGGCUCAAGAGUCCUAUUCGAGAGGAAGACAGUAUCACCAGGAUUUCCACCUGACGGUCUACGAGGCUGUGCCCCCUCCCCAGAUCCAGGCCAUGGCUGUGUCCCUCACACCAGGCUGGUGCAACGUCACAGUGGAGUGUAACACCACAGGAACCAGGGAGGACCUGACCGUGUCCUGGGAGAGUGAGAGCCUCCCCAGGGAGCUGGAGCAGAGACCGGCCCCAGGACCAGCCCCCAACCCCUGGACCCUGGCUGUGAACCUGCCCCUGAGCCGGCCCAGCCUCAACCUCACCUGUGUGGUGAGCAACCAGGCGGACAAGAAAGCUGCCUCCUGGAACGUUGGGGACGUCUGUGGCCGUGACCCACAAGGACAGACCAGUGCUGCCCACUUGCUCGGUAUCCUGGCGUCUGUUGUGGUCCUGCUGCUGAUCUUCGGAGCUGGGCUGUACCUUUGGAAGGGACGUGGGAUGAAGAAGAACGUGGAGCCUGGGACAGGCAGGUUGCACUUCUCCUUCCCAUCUCCAGACACCUCCCUCCCCCGUUGAACUCUG